AUUGAACGCUGGCGGAAUGCUUUACACAUGCAAGUCGAACGGUAGAGGGGGCAACCCCUCGAGAGUGGCGAACGGGUGAGUAAUAUAUCGGAACGUGCCCAGUCGUGGGGGAUAACGUAGCGAAAGUUACGCUAAUACCGCAUACGAUCUAAGGAUGAAAGCGGGGGAUCGCAAGACCUCGCGCGAUUGGAGCGGCCGAUAUCAGAUGAGGUAGUUGGUGGGGUAAAGGCUAACCAAGCCAACGAUCUGUAGCUGGUCUGAGAGGACGACCAGCCACACUGGAACUGAGACACGGUCCAGACUCCUACGGGAGGCAGCAGUGGGGAAUUUUGGACAAUGGGCGAAAGCCUGAUCCAGCCAUUCCGCGUGCAGGAUGAAGGCCCUCGGGUUGUAAACUGCUUUUGUACAGAACGAAAAGGUUUCUACUAAUACUAGGAGCUCAUGACGGUACUGUAAGAAUAAGCACCGGCUAACUACGUGCCAGCCGCCGCAGUAA
rnacentral:rRNA from 1 species